rnacentral:rRNA from 1 species
GAUGAACGCUGGCGGCGUGCCUAACACAUGCAAGUCGAGCGAUCUUCUUCGGAAGAGAGCGGCGGACGGGUGAGUAACGCGUGGGUAACCUGCCCUGUACACACGGAUAACAUACCGAAAGGUAUGCUAAUACGGGAUAAUAUGCUUUUAUCGCAUGGUAGAAGUAUCAAAGCUCCGGCGGUACAGGAUGGACCCGCGUCUGAUUAGCUAGUUGGUAAGGUAACGGCUUACCAAGGCGACGAUCAGUAGCCGACCUGAGAGGGUGAUCGGCCACAUUGGAACUGAGACACGGUCCAAACUCCUACGGGAGGCAGCAGUGGGGAAUAUUGCACAAUGGGCGAAAGCCUGAUGCAGCAACGCCGCGUGAGCGAUGAAGGCCUUCGGGUCGUAAAGCUCUGUCCUCAAGGAAGAUAAUGACGGUACUUGAGGAGGAAGCCCCGGCUAACUACGUGCCAGCCGCCGCAGUAAAAC